UCCUUAUGCUACAAUUGUGAACAAAAAAAUCCUUUAACUAUUCCAAGAUUUUUGUAAUAAAAGUUAAGAGAAGAAUGUUUAUUGCAAAUUUUGGGAUUGUUAAAGGAUAUUUUUUUUUUGUUCAUAAUUAUAGUAUAAGGAUG